rnacentral:rRNA from 1 species
CCUACCGGGAGGCAGCAGUGGGGAAUAUUGGGCAAUGGGCGCAAGCCUGACCCAGCAACGCCGCGUGAAGGAAGAAGGCUUUCGGGUUGUAAACUUCUUUUCUGAGGGACGAAGAAAGGGACGGUACCUCAGGAAUAAGCCACGGCUAACUACGUGCCAGCAGCCGCGGGAAUACGUAGGUGGCAAGCGUUAUCCGGAUUUAUUGGGUGUAAAGGGCGUGUAGGCGGGAAAGCAAGUCAGAUGUGAAAACUCAGGGCUCAACCCGGAGACUGCAUUUGAAACUGUUUUUCUUGAGUGCUGGAGAGGUGAUCGGAAUUCCGUGUGGAGCGGUGAAAUGCGUAGAUAUACGGAGGAACACCAGUGGCGAAGGCGGAUUGCUGGACAGUAACUGACGCUGAGGCGCGAAAGCGUGGGGAGCAAACAGGAUUAGAUACCCUAGUAGUC